CAUGAUGAUCGUUACUGAUGUUGUGAUGCUUCAUUUGUGGUUUGAUCCCUCCCAAAUAUAUGUGAUGCUUUAUUUCAGUAUAACCACAUGUUCAUAAUGCAUGCUAUUCCAUAACAUCAACAACUAGAACUUGCCUGGUGGCUCCAAAUGAUCACAGAACACUAAGCCUAGACGCUUUACAGAUUCCAUGGCUCAUGGAAAUAAAAGAUCAAGGCUUUUGAGUAGCAGAUGAUUAGAUACUUGUGUUGAGAUGGUUAAGUGUGGGGAACGAGGUCAAAUUUGGUUUACACAGACAAGGAUGUUGAUGAGAUCCGAGCGGAAUGGGCUAAGCAUGUUUUGAAGUUCCCAGAAAAUUAAGUAUCAGCCUAUAUAUAUGCUUUUGUUUCUGGUAGGUUAUGAGCAGUAGUAGUGUUUAGGAACUGCUUUUGUGCAUUUUGACAGAACUGAUGGAAAGUGUUGAACAAAUGCAUGCAGUUGCUGUAACUACUCUAUGGAUGCUACUAGGUUUUUGUCUUAGUUAGAUUAGGAUCCGUGCAACAAUGGCAGUAAUUAAAAUCAGUUAAUGUAAAGGCUAGCAUGCUAGCUAGUUUAGUAUUAUGCUACUGAUGGAAAUGUAUUUUGGUGGGUUAAUUUAUGCAAUGAGGAAUUGAUCUUAU